AACGCACAUUGCGCCUCCUUUUUGGGAGGCAUGCCUGUCUGAGCGUCAUUUAAACCAUAGUCCCGAUAGGGUCUGUCUUGGGCAUCGUCUUUGGGCGUAGCCUCAAAGCGAUUGGUCUAAAGAGCGGGUGAAAUCCAUUAGGACCGACCGUUCUACGACUUUAAACUUCUGAUUUGACCUCAGAUCAGGUAGGACUACCGCCUGAACUUAA
rnacentral:misc_RNA from 1 species